CUCACAGUAGGAGGAGAUUUCACCUGCCAGGCUCAGAACACUGUGGGCUCCCAACGUCUCUCCUUGAGCCUGGCCAUGGAAGAUGAGAAGCAAAAGGACUCCUGGCCACUGGUCUUCACUCUGAUCAGGGGGUCUGUCAUGGGAACUGUCUUCCUCCUCAUCUAUGGCCUCACUUGGAUCUACUAUACCAGAUUAAAAUCACUGUCCACUUUGGUCCAAGAAACUUCUGCUUGCAGUGAGCAUUGGUGACCAUAGAGACUCCUAACUGGUCACAGUCUUGAGAAUGAGAGAGUGGGCAAUGCUCAGCCAUAAAUUGGAUCACCC